rnacentral:rRNA from 1 species
UGGGGAAUUUUGGACAAUGGGGGAAACCCUGAUCCAGCCGUCCCGCGUGUGCGAUGAAGGCCUUCGGGUUGUAAAGCACUUUUGGCAGGAAAGAAACGUCAUGGGUUAAUACCCCGUGAAACUGACGGUACCUGCAGAAUAAGCACCGGCUAACUACGUGCCAGCAGCCACGGUAAUACGUAGGGUGCAAGCGUUAAUCGGAAUUACUGGGCGUAAAGCGUGCGCAGGCGGUUCGGAAAGAAAGAUGUGAAAUCCCAGAGCUCAACUUUGGAACUGCAUUUUUAACUACCGGGCUAGAGUGUGUCAGAGGGAGGUGGAAUUCCGCGUGUAGCAGUGAAAUGCGUAGAUAUGCGGAGGAACACCGAUGGCGAAGGCAGCCUCCUGGGAUAACACUGACGCUCAUGCACGAAAGCGUGGGGAGCAAACAGG